rnacentral:rRNA from 1 species
GUCAUAUGCUUGUCUCAAAGAUUAAGCCAUGCAUGUCUCAGUACAAGCCAAAUUAAGGUGAAACCGCGAAAGGCUCAUUAAAUCAGUUAUGGUUCCUUAGAUCGUACCCACAAUUACUUGGAUAACUGUGGUAAUUCUAGAGCUAAUACAUGCAAACAGAGCUCCGACCGGAGACGGAAGGAGUGCUUUUAUUAGAUCAAAACCAAUCGGUGGCGGGUUCGCUCGUCAUCGUACAACUUGGUGAUUCUGAAUAACUUUACGCUGAUCGCACGGUCAUCGCACCGGCGACGCAUCUUUCAAAUGUCUGCCUUAUCAACUGUCGAUGGUAGGUUCUGCGCCUACCAUGGUUGUAACGGGUAACGGGGAAUCAGGGUUCGAUUCCGGAGAGGGAGCCUGAGAAACGGCUACCACAUCCAAGGAAGGCAGCAGGCGCGCAAAUUACCCACUCCCGGCACGGGGAGGUAGUGACGAAAAAUAACGAUACGGGACUCAUCCGAGGCCCCGUAAUCGGAAUGAGUACACUCUAAACCCUUUAACGAGGAUCAAUUGGAGGGCAAGUCUGGUGCCAGCAGCCGCGG